UACAGAGGGUGCAAGCGUUGUUCGGAAUUAUUGGGCGUAAAGAGCGUGUAGGCGGCCAGGUAGGUCAGCUGUGAAAACUCGAGGCUCAACCUCGAGACGUCGGUUGAAACCAUCUGGCUAGAGUCCGGAAGAGGAGAGUGGAAUUCCUGGUGUAGCGGUGAAAUGCGCAGAUAUCAGGAAGAACACCCGUGGCGAAGGCGGCUCUCUGGGACGGUACUGGACGCUGAGACGCGAAAGCGUGGGGAGCGAACAGG
rnacentral:rRNA from 1 species